UACGGGGGGGCAAGCGUUGUUCGGAAUUACUGGGCGUAAAGGGCUCGUAGGCGGCCAACUAAGUCGGAUGUGAAAUCCCCAGGCUUAACCUGGGAACUGCAUCCGAUACUGGAUGGCUUGAAUCCGGGAGAGGGAUGCAGAAUUCCAGGUGUAGCGGUGAAAUGCGUAGAUAUCUGGAGGAAUACCGGUGGCGAAGGCGGCAUCCUGGACCGGCAUUGACGCUGAGUGAGCGAAAGCCAGGGAGCAACGGG
rnacentral:rRNA from 1 species